CCUCCGUUCUUCUGCCGUUUUUGCUAUUUUCCCCUUUUUUUCCCCCUGCUCCCGCGCCGCCGCGUGAGUGAAGAAGUAUUUCGGUAUGUAAAGCUCUAUCAGCAGGGAAGAAAGAAAUGACGGUACCUGACCAAGAAGCACCGGCUAACUACGUGCCAGCCGCCGCGGUAAUACGUAGGGGGCAAGCUUUAUCCGGAAAUACUGGGUGUAAAGGGAGCGUAGACGGUUAAGUAAGUCUGGAGUGAAAGGCCGGGGCUCAACCCCGGGACUGCUCUGGAAACUAUUUAACUUGAGUGCAGGAGAGGUCAGCGGAAUUCCUAGUGUAGCGGUGAAAUGCGUAGCUAUUAGGAGGAACACCAGUGGCGAAGGCGGCUUACUGGACUGUAACUGACGUUGAGGCUCGAAAGCGUGGGGAGCAAACAGGAUUAGAUACCCUUGUAGUC
rnacentral:rRNA from 1 species